AUUGAACGCUGGCGGCAUGCUUUACACAUGCAAGUCGGACGGCAGCGGGGUAGUGCUUGCACUACUGCCGGCGAGUGGCGAACGGGUGAGUAAUAUAUUGGAACGUACCGAGUAAUGGGGGAUAACCAAUCGAAAGAUUGGCUAAUACCGCAUACGCUCUGAGGAGGAAAGAAGGGGACCUUCGGGCCUUGCGUUAUUCGCGAGGCCAAUAUCUGAUUAGCUAGUGGGUGGGGUAAGGGCCUACCAAGGCGACGAUCAGUAGCGGGUCUGAGAGGAUGAUCCGCCACACUGGGACUGAGACACGGCCCAGACUCCUACGGGAGGCAGCAGUGGGGAAUUUUGGACAAUGGGCGCAAGCCUGAUCCAGCCAUGCCGCGUGUGUGAAGAAGGCCUUCGGGUUGUAAAGGACUUUUGUUAGGGAAGAAAAAGGAUCGGUUAAUACCCGGUUCUGCUGACGGUACCUAAAGAAUAAGCACCGGCUAACUACGUG
rnacentral:rRNA from 1 species